rnacentral:tRNA from 1 species
GCUCGGGUGGCGGAACUGGCAGACGCGCUGGACUUAGGAUCCAGUGGAGAAAUCCGUAGGGGUUCGACUCCCCUCCCGAGCA